AGCAGCCGCGGUAAUUCCGGCUCCAAUAGCGUAUAUUAAAGUUGUUGCAGUUAAAAAGCUCGUAGUUGAAUUUCGAGACCGGUUUACUGGUCGUGCUUUUGUACGUACUGGUAUUAUUGGUUUCUCCUUUCUGACGAAUCAUAAUGCCAUUAAUUUGGUGUUUUGGGGAAUCAGGACUGUUACUUUGAAAAAUUAGAGUGUUUAAAGCAGGCUCACGCUUGAAUACAUUAGCAUGGAAUAACGAAAUAGGACGUUUGAUUUUAUUUUGUUGGUUUCUAGGAUCGACGUAAUGAUUAAUAGGGAUAGUUGGGGGCAUUAGUAUUCAAUUGUCAGAGGUGAAAUUCUUGGAUUUAUUGAAGACUAACUACUGCGAAAGCAUUUGCCAAGGAUGUUUUCAUUAAUCAAGAACGAAAGUUAGGGGAUCGAAGACGAUCAGAUACCGUCGUAGUCUUAACCAUAAACUAUGCCGACUAGGGAUCGGAUGAUGUUAAUUUUUAAUGUACUCA
rnacentral:rRNA from 1 species